rnacentral:rRNA from 1 species
AUUGAACGUUGGCGGCAUGCCUUACACAUGCAAGUCGAACGGCAGCACGGGAGCAAUCCUGGUGGCGAGUGGCGAACGGGUGAGUAAAGUAUCGGAACGUGCCCAGUCGUGGGGGAUAACGUAGCGAAAGUUACGCUAAUACCGCAUACGAGCUAUGGAUGAAAGCGGGGGAUCGCAGGACCUCGCGCGAUUGGAGCGGCCGAUAUCAGAUUAGGUAGUUGGUGGGGUAAAGGCUCACCAAGCCGACGAUCUGUAGCUGGUCUGAGAGGACGACCAGCCACACUGGGACUGAGACACGGCCCAGACUCCUACGGGAGGCAGCAGUGGGGAAUUUUGGACAAUGGGCGAAAGCCUGAUCCAGCCAUGCCGCGUGCAGGAUGAAGGCCUUCGGGUUGUAAACUGCUUUUGUACGGAACGAAAAGGUUUGGCCUAAUAAGCUGAGCUCAUGACGGUACCGUAAGAAUAAGCACCGGCUAACUACGUGCCAGCCGCCGCCGUAA